GCCUUCUAUCCCCUCCCCCUCCCCGGUUUCUCGGGCGCGCCGGCGCGCCGUGCCGUCACGUGACGUCUCCGCGCGUCCACGGGCUCCGCGCUGCGGGGUUGUUGGCCAGGGAGAAAAGACUGCGAAGUGGCCGCGGCGGUGGCCGGAAAGAGCUUCAAUGGAAAGGACAACAUUGUCAUCUUCAAGUUAACUGGUGAUAUAAAAUCAAUAAUGCUAGUUCACAGAGUCAUUAAUACAAGUAGGGACUCCCUUUGCAACACAAAGAAUCAACCACUAGUGAGGAAAAAAACCUCUAACUUUACUAACUGUCUGUGAAGAUGAUGUUUUAUUCUUAUAACAGACAUCAGUGGGAUCUAUAAUAGAAAUAUGAGUAUUGGGAGCUCCCAGUGAGGAAACUCCUUCUACCAAUGUGUCUUAACAGUUUUAGAAAGUUGGGCUUUGAGAGGUUGUGACUUUCCCAGGAUUACAGACAUUAUAUGUCAGACCCUGGACUCGAAUCCUGCCUAAGGUGAGCUUUCUCUAUCCACUAAACCAUGCCUGCCUCAAAUAUUUAGAAAUUUUUUAUAGAAAAAAUUAUAUAAACUUUCUGCUUAGUGAUUUUAAUCCUUAUUGGUUAAAGUUAAAUAUAACCCACUUUUUUUUUAAAUUGUCUUAUGAAAGAAGCUCAAAAUCUCUUCAGUCUAUAUUCUUACUGUUCCCAUGGUGCCUUGCCAUGCCUUUCUAAUUCUUUCAUCUCUUUUAAGGCAUAAUUUACUCAGUAUACCUUUAAGCCAGAAAUGUACUAUAAUUACUCAGCUUGAAUGCUCUCCAUUCAAACGAUCCUCAAAAUAUUUUGUGCGUCUUUCCUUGAUAAAUUGGGAAAUGCAAUGGAUUUCUGUCACCAGGUUAAAUAGUAGCAGUAGCAAUAGCAGUAUGGGAUCUUAAGCUUCCAAAGUAAAAUUUGUUAAUUAGCCUAUUUCAUUAAUACCAUAUUUCAUAUACUAUGUUCUUCUUCAAAUUACCUAUUCCCCUCUCCAACCCCAAGACCUGCAGUUUCAUUGGAAUAGGCCACUUAUGGUGAACCUUUUAGAGAAUGAAUUUCCAAAUUGCAACCCUCAUGCCACAUGUGAGCUCCCUGCCUUAUCCCAGAUAGGAGAGGGAGGAAAUGCUCCCAUUGGGCUGCUGGGCAGAGGGGUGGGUCAUCUGAGAAAUGAACUCAAGCACAUGUGGGGUGGGGGAGGGGGAUGCCCCCUCUGGCACAGGUGCCAUUGGUUUGCCAACACGGCUAUAGGCCUUUUCUGUUAAGGGAAUUUUCUGUAUUUAGGCAAGGUACUUAUUUCUUAUUCUGCUACUCCUGGUUAUAGACAGUUAUCUAGGGUCCUGAGAAAUUAGGUAACUUCUGGGUCACAGAGUAGGACUUACCAUAUGGGAAUUUAAUAACUUCCUGUCCACUAGGUCUUGCUGCCUUUCACUUUUAUAAAAAUCAAAGAUUUUUAACUUUUGUUUGCAUCAUGCACCUUUAGCAGUCCGACAAAGCUCCUGUAUCCCUCCUUAGAAUAUUUUUUAAAUAUUUAAAUAAUAUAUUUGUGAUGUUUUAAAACAUACAAGAUUAAGGAGUCUAAUAAUGUUGAAAUUCAGUUAGCAAAAUACUUUUUAAAAACUUAACAGGCCCUCGUUAACCCUUUCUUUGUAGUUAUUUGCAUACUUAUCACCCUUCUUGCCAUUCCUUGCACUACUCUCCUCUCUUCCCCCUUAGCUUAUAAGAUCUUUCAGAGCUAGGCUUUUGUAAUAGCUAUCCUCUGUGCUCUAUACAUCUUAGGGGUUUAAUAAGUAUUUUUAUUGAAUUAAUUUAGCCCAUGCAGAUAUACUUUUAUGCCACUAGUUAUAAAAAAUGCAUUUUAUAGUUCAUACUGUUCCUAUUUUCCAUUCCUCCUAGCUGCUAGUGCCUUUCCCUUUAAAAGUAUACCUUGUAUCUUCCUUCAUAGGAAUUUUGUAUAUACUUAUUAAUAUACUUAUCUUCUCCAUUAAGUAAGUUCUUUAGGGGCAGGGACUUGUAUCAACUUCCUGACUAAUUCUUGGUUGACUUAAAAGGGCAUUAGAUUGAAGAACUGGUUGGCAGCUUAUAUGUAUCUCCUAAGGUUUGUUACUUUUCCUUUUCCCUUCCUUCCCCUCUUGAUUUCAAGUUACUUCUUUAUAUUUGUGGCUUUUAGUUUUUUAUAUAUUGUUUGAGCAGGGAAUGGGGAAACUCAUUGACCCUCAGUAGAAAAAGGAUUAUCUAUCUGUAAAGCACACAAACAUUUUGGUAGUUUUUUGUGACUGGGUGAUUUUUGAAAACCAUUGUAUUUUGUGGUAACAAAUACUCUCUUUU